GACGGGUGAGUAAUGUCUGGGAAACUGCCUGAUGGAGGGGGAUAACUACUGGAAACGGUAGCUAAUACCGCAUGAUGUCUUCGGACCAAAGUGGGGGACCUUCGGGCCUCACGCCAUCAGAUGUGCCCAGAUGGGAUUAGCUAGUAGGUGGGGUAAUGGCUCACCUAGGCGACGAUCUCUAGCUGGUCUGAGAGGAUGACCAGCCACACUGGAACUGAGACACGGUCCAGACUCCUACGGGAGGCAGCAGUGGGGAAUAUUGCACAAUGGGCGCAAGCCUGAUG
rnacentral:rRNA from 1 species